rnacentral:tRNA from 1 species
GAGGGUAUAGCUCAGAGGUAGAGCACAUGCUUAGCAUGCACAAGGUCCUGGGUUCAAUCCCCAGUACCUCCA